UACGUAGGGGGGCAAGCGUUGUCCGGAAUCAUUGGGCGUAAAGAGCGUGUAGGCGGCCCGAUAAGUCCGCCGUGAAAGUCCAGGGCUCAACCCUGGAAUGCCGGUGGAAACUGUCGAGCUGGAGUCCGGAAGAGGCGAGUGGAAUUCCUGGUGUAGCGGUGAAAUGCGCAGAUAUCAGGAGGAACACCAAUGGCGAAGGCAGCUCGCUGGGACGGUACUGACGCUGAGACGCGAAAGCGUGGGGGAGCAAACAGG
rnacentral:rRNA from 1 species